CCUACGGGGUGCAGCAGUGGGGAAUAUUGCACAAUGGGGGAAACCCUGAUGCAGCAACGCCGCGUGAGUGAAGAAGUCUUUCGGUAUGUAAAGCUCUAUCAGCAGGGAAGAAGAUGACGGUACCUGAUUAAGAAUCCCCGGCUAACUACGUGCCAGCAGCCGCGGUAAUACGUAGGGGGCAAGCGUUGUCCGGAAUUACUGGGUGUAAAGGGAGCGUAGACGGUGAUGUAAGUCUGGAGUGAAAGGCGGGGGCCCAACCCCCGGACUGCUCUGGAAACUAUGUGACUGGAGUGCAGGAGAGGUGAGCGGAAUUCCUAGUGUAGCGGUGAAAUGCGUAGAUAUUAGGAGGAACACCAGUGGCGAAGGCGGCUAACUGGACUGUAACUGACGUUGAGGCGCGAAAGCGUGGGGAGCAAACAGGAUUAGAUACCCCGGUAGUC
rnacentral:rRNA from 1 species